rnacentral:rRNA from 1 species
AAUAUUGCGCAAUGGGGGGAACCCUGACGCAGCAACGCCGCGUGAGCGAAGAAGGCCUUCGGGUCGUAAAGCUCUGUCAUAGGGGAAGAGGAGAAGACGGUACCCUAUGAGGAAGCCCCGGCUAACUACGUGCCAGCAGCCGCGGUAAUACGUAGGGGGCGAGCGUUGUCCGGAAUUACUGGGCGUAAAGGGUGCGUAGGCGGCCUGAUAAGUCAGAUGUGAAAUACCAGGGCUCAACCCUGGGGGUGCAUUUGAAACUGUCGGGCUUGAGUGCAGGAGAGGAAAGCGGAAUUCCUGGUGUAGCGGUGAAAUGCGUAGAUAUCAGGAGGAACACCAGUGGCGAAGGCGGCUUUCUGGACUGUAACUGACGCUGAGGCACGAAAGCGUGGGGAGCGAACA